CAUGGCUCAGGAUGAACGCUAGCGGCAGGCUUAACACAUGCAAGUCGAGGGGGCAUCGGGAGUAGCAAUACUGCCGGCGACCGGCGCAAGGGUGCGUAACGCGUGAGCAACAUGCCCGUAUCAGGGGGAUAAUCCACUGGAAACGUGGUCUAAUACCCCAUAGUAAUUAUGUAAGGCAUCUUAUAUAAUUUAAAGCUUUGGUGGAUACGGAUUGGCUCGCGUGACAUUAGCUGGAUGGUAAGGUAACGGCUUACCAUGGCUACGAUGUCUAGGGGUUCUGAGAGGAAGGUCCCCCACACUGGAACUGAGACACGGUCCAGACUCCUACGGGAGGCAGCAGUGAGGAAUAUUGGACAAUGGAUGGAAAUCUGAUCCAGCCAUGCCGCGUGCAAGGAAGACGGCCCUAUGGGUUGUAAACUGCUUUUGUAUGGGAGCAAUAAGGGCUACGUGUAGCCCGAUGAGAGUACCAUACGAAUAAGCACCGGCUAACUCCGUGCCAGCCGCUGC
rnacentral:rRNA from 1 species